rnacentral:rRNA from 1 species
ACGGGAGGCAGCAGUAGGGAAUAUUGGGCAAUGGGCGAAAGCCUGACCCAGCAACGCCGCGUGAAGGAAGAAGGUCUUCGGAUUGUAAACUUUUGUCUUAUGGGACGAUAAUGACGGUACCAUAGGAGGAAGCCACGACUAACUACGUGCCAGCAGUCGCGGUAAUACGUAGGUGGCAAGCGUUAUCCGGAAUUAUUGGGUGUAAAGGGUGCGUAGGCGGGAUGUAAAGUCAGAUGUGAAAUCUCAGGGCUUAACCUUGAGACUGCAUUUGAAACUUACAUUCUUGAGUUAAGUAGAGGCAAGCGGAAUUCCCAGUGUAGCGGUGAAAUGCGUAGAUAUUGGGAGGAACACCAGUGGCGAAGGCGGCUUGCUGGGCUUUUACUGACGCUGAGGCACGAAAGUGUGGGGAGCAAACAGGAUUAGAUACCCUGGUA